AGAAGGGAGGAACCAGAACAGACCCCUGAGAAUAGUCAUGGUUUUGAAGAAGCAGAAGGAAGAGAAGCCAGCACACUGGAAGCAGAGACAGAGACCAAAGAGGUAGGAGAAAGGCAGGAGGGGUCUUUGGGACAAAAUAUUCCCCCGGCAGAUAAAACAGGAGAGCAUUGAAAGAAGGAGAGUGAGUUUGACGGUGUCAAGUGCUACCAAGACAUCAAAUAAUACGGAGAAAAAACAUAGUCUAUUGGAUCCAGCUACUGGGGACCUGAUAAGGGAAGUUUCAGCGGAGUGGUGAGGGCAGAGGCCAGAUUAGAAGGGUGAGCGGGGAGUGGAGGCAAAUCUACUCUGGUCAUGAGCUGCUUAAACAUGGUGGAUUGGCCAUAGGCAUGCAUCUGCUUUCCCUCCUCAGACACCACUAACCCGGCAGUAAAGGAAUAAUCUAAGCUGACCCACGAUGACAAAGAAGCUGGGAGAGGAGGCAUCUGCCAAGUAAAGAUUCCAACCAACCUUUGGAAGAUGGCAUGCUAACAGAGAAGUACCAAGGUCACCAGUGGUUAUGACCCAAAGUGCCCAUGGAGGAGACACCAAGGCCAAUUUGUCCUGAAACAUCCCCGAGAGGUCCAAGUCUUGGAGGGAACAGGGUGCGGGUGGAAGUCUGAACAUGGAGGAGUUGUCUCCCAAGCCUUCUCCCUAUCCCAUGCAGCCAGAUGACUAAACCCACAGGCCUAAAAACAGCAUUUUCUUCCUGGAGGAAUUGAACUCAAAAGGCCCCAGACUUGUUCAGACCAGGCACAGCAGAGAACAAGACUGCAAACGGGGAUUAGGGAUACGCAUUCUGAAUGGCAGGAUUCCAGACUUUUUUCCUUCGCCUGCUCCCAGAAUGCCAACAGCCCAGGGUGUCUCCUCC
rnacentral:lncRNA from 1 species